rnacentral:rRNA from 1 species
GGCAGCGCGGGGCAACCUGGCGGCGAGUGGCGAACGGGUGAGUAAUACAUCGGAACGUACCCAGAAGUGGGGGAUAACGUAGCGAAAGUUACGCUAAUACCGCAUACGUUCUACGGAAGAAAGUGGGGGAUCGCAAGACCUCAUGCUUUUGGAGCGGCCGAUGUCUGAUUAGCUAGUUGGUGAGGUAAAGGCUCACCAAGGCGACGAUCAGUAGCUGGUCUGAGAGGACGACCAGCCACACUGGAACUGAGACACGGUCCAGACUCCUACGGGAGGCAGCAGUGGGGAAUUUUGGACAAUGGGCGCAAGCCUGAUCCAGCAAUGCCGCGUGAGUGAAGAAGGCCUUCGGGUUGUAAAGCUCUUUUGUCAGGGAAGAAACGGUAGGAGCUAAUAUCCCUUGCUAAUGACGGUACCUGAAGAAUAAGCACCGGCUAACUACGUGCCAGCAGCCGCGGUAAUACGUAGGGUGCAAGCGUUAAUCGGAAUUACUGGGCGUAAAGCGUGCGCAGGCGGUUUUGUAAGUCUGACGUGAAAUCCCCGGGCUCAACCUGGGAAUUGCGUUGGAGACUGCAAGGCUGGAGUCUGGCAGAGGGGGGUAGAAUUCCACGUGUAGCAGUGAAAUGCGUAGAGAUGUGGAGGAACACCGAUGGCGAAGGCAGCCCCCUGGGUCAAGACUGACGCUCAUGCACGAAAGCGUGGGGAGCAAACAGGAUUAGAUACCCUGGUAGUCCACGCCCUAAACGAUGUCUACUAGUUGUC